GGGGGUGUGCCGGAUUCGAUUUUGUGGGUUCGGUCAGGAAAGCACGUCGGAGACGAACGGUUGGCUCCGUCAAAAAUCCGUUCAAAAUCAAUAAAUGACAACGACAAUGUUGUAAUGUUCCCCGCCGCAACGGCCCUUCGGGUCGCCGCCUAAAGGGAACAUCGCGGUUGCCCAUAGAUGCAACCCUGUUCCCCAUCCGGACGUCUGCUAGGGAUGGGGGGCAUUGUUUUGCAGAUUAUAUCCCGGAUAAACACAAUCGGAUCUGGGCUGUAACGAAACGGUUGUGCGCUCUUUGGAGAAGGAUCGAACGCCGACACCAAAGGGGGAUCGAAAAAACGUUCGAUAAACGUGUAGAGGUCCAGGUUUAUCCCACAAAAGACGCGGGUUCAACUCCCGCCACCUCCACCA
rnacentral:tmRNA from 1 species